rnacentral:lncRNA from 1 species
UUGUUACAGAAAUAUAAUAAUAAUAAUAAGCCCCAUCGACACCCAUUUCUGAGCAAGAGCCUCCUUCUCAGCAAAUGCAUGGGCAUAUUUUAUUUUACUUUUUUUUAUUUAUUUUUUUAGCUUGGUCCGGUUAUACACCCAUGAAUAAACUGAAAGGGUUUUUAUUAUUAAACCAACAAUCGCAGAUCUCAGAAUGCACGUGAAUGGAUUCCCAACCGGUCACCCAUCUAAGUACCGACCACGUCCGAUUCCGCUUAACUCGCGUGAUCGGACGAGAAUUGGUGUAACCACUGAGCUACGAGUGUUGGUUCAGAAAUAUGCUAUACCUA